rnacentral:rRNA from 1 species
GACGAACGCUGGCGGCGUGCUUAACACAUGCAAGUCGAACGGAAAGGCCCUGCUUUUGUGGGGUGCUCGAGUGGCGAACGGGUGAGUAACACGUGAGUAACCUGCCCUUGACUUUGGGAUAACUUCAGGAAACUGGGGCUAAUACCGGAUAGGAGCUCCUGCUGCAUGGUGGGGGUUGGAAAGUUUCGGCGGUUGGGGAUGGACUCGCGGCUUAUCCGCUUGUUGGUGGAGUAGUGGUUUACCAAGGCUUUGACGGGUAGCCGGCCUGAGAGGGUGAACGGCCACAUUGGGACUGAGAGACGGCCCAGUCUGCUACGGGAGGCAGCAGUGGGAAAUAUUGCACAAUGGGCGGAAGCCUGAUGCAGCAGCGCCGCGUGCGGGAUGACGGCCUUCGGGUUAUAAACCGCUUUCGCCUGUGACGAAGCGUGAGUGACGGUAAUGGGUAAAGAAGCACCGGCUAACUACGUG